rnacentral:rRNA from 1 species
UGGGGAAUAUUGCACAAUGGGCGCAAGCCUGAUGCAGCCAUGCCGCGUGUGUGAAGAAGGCCUUCGGGUUGUAAAGCACUUUCAGCGGGGAGGAAGGCGAUAAGGUUAAUAACCUUGUCGAUUGACGUUACCCGCAGAAGAAGCACCGGCUAACUCCGUGCCAGCAGCCGCGGUAAUACGGAGGGUGCAAGCGUUAAUCGGAAUUACUGGGCGUAAAGCGCACGCAGGCGGUUUGUUAAGUCAGAUGUGAAAUCCCCGGGCUCAACCUGGGAACUGCAUCUGAUACUGGCAAGCUUGAGUCUCGGAGAGGGGGGUAGAAUUCCAGGUGUAGCGGUGAAAUGCGUAGAGAUCUGGAGGAAUACCGGUGGCGAAGGCGGCCCCCUGGACGAAGACUGACGCUCAGGUGCGAAAGCGUGGGGAGCAAACAGG